rnacentral:rRNA from 1 species
AUGGAGAGCACGCCGGCGGCCACCGCCAGCUCGGGCGUCGGCCAUGGAGGCGGCAACGAGGGCGCGACCGUGCUCCUCCUGCCGAUCCCGGGGGCGCUGGGCCACACGAACCCGAUGCUGGAGCUGGGCCGCCGCCUGGCGCACCACGGCCUCCGCCCCACGUUCGUCACCACCCGCCACGUGCUCUCCGUCACCCCGCCCCCCGGCGCGCCCUUCCGCGUGGCCGCCAUCUCCGACGGCUUCGACGCCGGCGGCUUCGCCUCGUGCCCGGACCCUGCCGAGUACUUCUCCCGUCUGGAGGCCGUGGGGUCCGAGACGCUGCGGGAGCUCCUGCUGUCGGAGGAGGCGGCCGCGGUGCGCGUGCUGGUGUACGACUCGCACCUGCCGUGGGCGGGGCGGGUGGCGCGGGCCGCCGGCGUGCCCACCGCGGCGUUGUUCACGCAGCCGUGCGCGGUGAACAUCGUCUACGGGGAGGUGUGGGCGGGGCGGCUGGCGCUGCCGGUGACGGACGGGCAUGAGCUGCUGGCGCACGGAGCGCUGGGCUUGGAGCUGGGGCCGGAAGACGUGCCGCCAUUCGUGGCGGCACCGGAGUCGCUGGCGGUGUUCCUUAAGACGUCGAUUGAGCAGUUCGACGGGGUGGAGGACGCCGACGACGUGCUCGUCAACUCUUUCAGCGACAUGGAGCCGAAGGAGGUGGAUUACAUGAAGCUAACAUGGGGAGCGAAGACUAUAGGUCCCACCUUGCCAUCAUUUUAUCUCGGCGAUGAUCGCCUGCCAUCCAACAAGUCUUAUGGUUUCAACGUUUUUGUUGAUGACGCGGCAUGCAUAGAUUGGCUUGAAAAGCAGAGCAUCUCCUCUGUUGUGCUUGUAUCAAAUGGGAGUUACGCAAACUAUGACGCGACUCAGUUGGAGGAGCUUGGCAAUGGUCUAUGCAAUUCUAGCAAACCUUUCCUCUGGGUUGUUAGAUCCGACGAGGCACACAAGUUAUCUGAGCAACUCAAGGUGAAAUGUGAGAAAAAUGGAUUAAUUGUCUCUUGGUGCCCCCAGCUUGAGGUUCUAGCACACAAGGCAAUUGGUUGUUUUGUUACCCACUGUGGAUGGAACUCGACACUAGAGGCAGUUGUUUGUGGUGUACCUCUUGUGGGAAUUCCGCACUGGGCGGACCAACCCACUAUCGCAAAGUAUGUGGAGAGCAUGUGGGGUAUGGGUGUGCGAUUGCGGAAGAGUGAAACUGGAUCACUAAGGAGUGCGGAGGUCGAGAGGUGUGUUAGAGAGGUAAUGGAUGGGGAUAAGAAGGACGAGUACAAAAGUAAUGCUACGAAGUGUAUGAAAAAGGCUAAGAAGGCAAUGCGAGAAGGAGGAACCUCAGACAAGCAUAUCGUUGAAUUCGUUGCCAAGUAUUCGUCAAUUUAA